UACCUAACUGACUGAUAAGUUGUAGCUGGGGGGAGAGGCUGUAGCAAAGUGGAAGGGGUAGCUGCUACACAGUGUGUGGAAAGCUUACUCAAAGCAAACUGAUAGGGAUUUGCUAAGGAAUAUGACUGCAAAAAGCUCAGGGACUGAAAAGGAGUUGUGGAUGCUGGAGGACUCCAGGUUGUUAACUUGGCAAAAUGCUGCUAACAGAAAAACGACAGGUGAUUCUGUAAGGUUCUGUCCCACUGCAGAGAGACUGCUCUGAUUGAUCUGGAAGACACUGGCACACCACAAACUAUUUUCUAUAAAGCUAAUCAGAAAGAAACAUUUCCCCGUGAAACCUGAGGACGGGAUGAGGAUGUUUCUCAUCUGAGUAGUCACACUGGUGUUAAUUGCAUGCAGAUUUCCAGGUUUGAUCCCACAGUUCUUCCAGUAUUGAAAUCAUCAUUGGUAUGUGAAGUACAGCAUCCCUUAUGUUGUGUUUUGACCUGAGGUGCAUUUGGCAUGCCUUUUCAAACUCCCUCGACAACAAGAGAGCAAUGGCUCUUCAGAGACAGUGAUUUUAUGGCCAUUAUUAUUUUUCAUGCUGUUUAGUGCUUCUAAGUGUUAAGGUUUAGGAUGACCCUGUGAUCCACCAUUUUUCCUCUCAGUCUGUGAGUUAGUCAGGCAGCUACAAGGCCUCUAUGUACCCAAUGGUCUCUACACAUGAUUUUGCUUUGUUUCUGACGUUUAAAUUAUUUCUCUUGUCUAUAAUCAGUGAUAUUAUUCUACCUAUUCAGAAAUCCAAUGAUAGCUGCAUCUAGAAAAAGAUGAGGAUACUAUCUUUAAAAAAAUAAAAACUUCUAAACUCAUUACGACUAAUGCUAGGAAAUCAUAUCAAUCUGAAAUUCAGAUAAACUUUCUGAGAGAGAAGCAAUAUACCAAAUAAGUACGUGGUCAUGUUUAUACAAAAAGAUAAUAGAAUUUUGGUAUUUUUUGAAGCUUGCAUACAUGAGAUGCCAUGAUUCAGUGUUUGAAAUGGAAAGUUCCAUUAAUAUUUUUAAACUGUCAGUUUUCUCUAACUAUAGUUACAUAUUUUAAUUAUUAACAUGGAAUUCAAAUUAUCUUAAUUAUAGACAGAGAUAUGGAGCCAUAAUUUUGAAAAUUCUGGAGAAAUUAAAAGGGUUUCUUUGGGACAGGGUACCAGCUUUUUACCUUUCUGUAUAUGAGGCCUUUGACAGUAUCCAUAUUCAGGAUAUUGAGGUCAAUGAGAAUUCUUCCUGACUGGAGAUUUUUAGAUCAAACCCAGGAAUAUAAACAUUUAACAUCCACACUGUCUUUCAGCGACUGUGAAAUUCUCCCUUCAUUCAUCCUAACAAUUCAUUUGGCUUUAUGAAAAGUAAAGUAACACCUGAUAAUAUCUAUAGUGCUCUCUAUUAAUACACCAAACUAAACAGUUCCCACACAACACUUUUUCCUAUUGACUUUCAGCUUGGAAAGAUAAGAAUACUCUGAUCUUUCCCUUUAUUCAGCUUUAGAAACUUGGU